rnacentral:misc_RNA from 1 species
CAAUUAACGCGCGUUAACCGGCGAUAAUAUGCUAAUGGAGAACAACCGUGAUACUCGCGUAUCUUCUUCAGCGGAAGCUUCAUACACGAUCGUACUAUGUGCAUAUCGAUCGCCAUUGGUACUAUUCAUCCGUAAUGACCAAGUUCAACGGCGGCCUUCUUCAACACACGGCUACGGUGUAAGAUCGAGUAUACGUGUAUUACACUGUUGAAACGAGGGAGGCCACGAGGACGCGAGAGUGCGGGGUCAAAGAUGAUCGUGAUAAUCACUCAACGAUGAAUAUCCAUAAAUAGCCGUAGUUGGCGAGCGGUUUAUAGACAACGCUGAAAGAGAAUGUCGAAGCUCUUUGAAACUGAUUGUUCACGUAUGGCAUGAGCAGCUCUACUACGGAAUACGGAAUACUUUAAUUUGUUGCGAUGAUUGAUGUUAAUAAUAUGUAAUAUUACAUAUUACUUUCAACACCGAGACAUACAACCAAAGAUAUUUAAAAGAAAGAUAAUCCUAGCCGAAUGAAAAUACUGCUGGAGACGUAGAAGAAAUCUAAACUUUACGACACCACCUCUCAAUUAUGUGUUGUGACUACGUUCUCUACGUUACUUUAACGUGUACGUGUACAUAUUGUGAUCGAAAAUGAAACUUUAAUAUUGUGCCAAACGUCUCUCUUUAUCAGAUAGAUUUAGACACUGUGACACCACUGUGACUAAUACUCGACACGACUAGCUUCAAGCUUCAAGCUUCAAGCAACAGCCAAAUAAUAAAAUGACAAAAAUGACAAAAAUGAAUUGAAUAUCUAUGGAGUAUGUGUACGUUUAUGUGUAAUUUGUAAUUUGCAACUUUGGACGUUGUAAUGAUUCGCGGCAUCUCAGUGAAACGAGAUGAGAGGACAAAACGAGACGGAAACGAGAGGUCUCGUAAACAUUUGUGCAGACGCGAUGCCGAAGCCCUGACGUCUAGCGAAGCUCGCCUAGCGAAGAUUAGAAGAAGAUUACGAUCAUCUCGGGCAGUUACACGUCAGGGUGAUUAGGGUCGAAAGCGCGUACCGUCGUAGCGCUACGGUACGGCUGCGCACGGUGAAACAUGAACGACAGCGAGAUUUAUCUAUUGAACUGGGAAGAAGAGGCACACGCAUCGGACAACGAUCUUGGCAGGAGCUUUUAUAACGCGAGCUAUCCGCCAUUCAAUCACACCUACGAGGAUCUCUGGGGACGCGCCACGGAUCGAAUCGGUCUCGCGAUCCUACUGCUGCUCUUCUCCGUAGCUACUGUUUUCGGGAAUUCGUUGGUGAUUCUCGCGGUAUUCCGAGAGAGGCAUCUGCACACAGCUACAAAUUAUUUCGUGACUUCAUUGGCUUGCGCCGAUUGCCUGGUGGGACUGGUAGUGAUGCCUAUCAGCGCGGUAUACGAGGUACUGGAGAACCGUUGGCUAUUCACGACGGACUGGUGCGACGUUUGGCGCUCGUUGGACGUUCUCUUCUCCACCGCGUCUAUUCUAAACCUGUGCGUCAUUAGCCUAGAUCGUUACUGGGCGAUUACCGAUCCCUUCACGUAUCCAACUCGCAUGAGCAGGAAACGCGCGGCGAUCUUAAUCGCCAUCGUAUGGAUUUGCUCGAGCGCGAUCUCCUUUCCGGCGAUAGCGUGGUGGCGUGCCGUUCGUACCGAGCAAGUGCCGGAAGACAAAUGUCCCUUCACGGAAAACCUCGGUUACCUGAUAUUCUCGUCGACAAUCAGUUUUUAUCUACCGCUAUUCGUGAUGGUGUUUACCUAUUAUAGAAUCUAUCGCGCCGCCGUAAUACAGACGAGGAGUCUGAAACUCGGCACGAAGCAGGUGAUGAUGGCCUCGGGCGAGCUCGAGCUCACGCUGAGGAUACACCGAGGCGGUGCCACCAACACCGAUGCCAGGCAUCUUUUUCGCACCGCUUCGAGCACACCCGAGGACCUCCAAGAUCUCGAGGAACCGUUAACGGCUCUUCACAACAACGGUCUCACUAGAGUGCCCUCCGUGAGGAUCAACAACAAGCAACAUCUAGGCAAAAAUUUCUCUCUCUCGCGUAAGCUCGCCAAAUUCGCCAAAGAAAAAAAGGCAGCCAAGACUCUUGGUAUCGUUAUGGGUGUCUUUAUUAUUUGUUGGCUGCCGUUCUUCGUUGUGAAUCUGUGGUCGGGAUUCUGCACGAGGUGUAUAUGGCAGGAAGAGAUAGUAUCCGCGGCCGUCACCUGGCUCGGUUGGAUUAACAGCGGAAUGAAUCCCGUGAUAUACGCUUGCUGGAGCAGAGACUUUCGUAGAGCUUUCGUCAGAAUUCUAUGCUACUGUUGCCCCAGACGAAUGAAGCGGCGAUAUCAGCCGGCGUUUAGAUGUAAGCCAAGUCAGAAAUUCACAUCCGGACGAUACUACUCCGCGUAUUCCCUGCAUCACGUACGGGGAAGUCGAGAAAAUUCCGGCGAGCAAACCUACAUUUAACAAUGGAAUAUCAUCGCGAGCUGGUCAUCGGCCGUUGAUCGUGGAAUUCCUCGAGAACCUUUUUUCUAUUUCUGUUAAAUUUCCGUUAUCGCUUUCCCUUCGUCCUUAAUGCAACAUAGAUAAAACAGUAUAAUAGUUUAGCAGAAGUCGAUUUCCAAGUAAUCACGAUCCCAUUAUAUCCGUUUUCCAAAAUCCUUGUAUAACAAAGAUCAACGAACAUCAACGAAUAUCAACGCAUUUCCAUAGAAUAUAAAUUCUCGUACAUUUCCGGAAUGGCAGCGGGAGGACAAGCGAGUAACGUGAGCUAUAGCAGUGUCAGCCAAAGUAG